rnacentral:rRNA from 1 species
AUGCCUCUGCCGCCGUCCAGAUCCAUGGUCCUCUCCCCGAUCUCCUUCCGCCUCCCCACCCCGAUGGACCCGUACGUCGCCGGCGGCACCACCCGACAUUCCGGCCGCCCCGAUUGGGUCUUACUCCACAAGUCGGCGCGUAUCUCGGGACACCGGAACUCGACCAUCUCCGGCUGCCACACGAUGGAGGGCCACCCCAUCGAGGUUUCCUUCUGGCUCGUCGACCCGCCGGGAGUCUCCUACUUCUCCGUCCACUGCCCCGGCCUCAACAAGGACUUCCACGACGAGCCCUACAUCAUCUGCGCCGAGGCCGCCCUUGUCCUCUUCAGCGUGGCCUUUGUCCCCGUCCCUGGCCGGAGAUCCAUCCAGUACUUCGUCUACAGAGCCGGCCCGGGGGCGCCGGCGCUGGAGCUGAUCCCGGACCCGGACAAGAUCAGAAGAGGCGAUCGAUUUGGCCUCUUGCCCUGCGGUGAUUCCGAGCACUAUGCCUUGGUCUUCCUCAAUAGAAAAUUUGCCUACAAUAAGCCUUGCCGUUUCGACCUCCACAUCUUCUCGUCGGCGACGCAGGCGUGGAGCAGCAAGGUGCCCUCGUCUUGCUUAUCGGAAGAUGAUCAGGCAUUGCUGCUCAACCAUGGCACCCGCAAGUCGGUCAUGGUCGGAGAUGGCUCGCUGGGCUGGGUCGAUCUCUUCAGCGGCAUCCUCCUCCUGUGCGAUGUGUUUGGUGAGUGUCCUGUGGUCAGGUACAUCACCUUGCCCGCUUCAAGGACUCGCCAGACGGACGAGCGCGGCCUCCCUUACUUUGCCUCGGAGUACUGCUGCAACGUGUCCUGCCGCGACGACGGUGCGAUCAAGUUUGUCGAGAUAGAGUUCGAUGAUCCGGAUCGCAGGAACAGAGGCAACCAAGGCUGGAGAGCCAUCAUAUGGGACAGGACGGUGACUUCGGAUGGUUGGAGCCAGCGCUUCAGAGUUGAUGCUGCUAACAUUUCAGUAGACCCAAGUUAUUCUGAUUUACUGCCUGAGCUGUGGAAUGACAAGACUGGAGAACCAGAACUGAAGAGACUGAUUUUCUAUACCCCCACGCUGAGCAAGCACGACGACGAUCUUCUGUACAUGAUGUCUAAGGUGAACAAGGAAGACGACAAGGCCUGGGUCAUCACCGUCGACAUGAAACGCGAGGCCGUGGAGGCAAUCGCCCCGUAUUCUACCAAAGGGCACCAACUCACUUCAUGGCACUCUCCAUGCACCUUUCCCAAGUACAUCGACCCGACGACCUCAGGGGAUCACGUGGCCAUGCACUCCAAGAGGAUUAGUGCGGCGGACUGUGUUCUGCAGGUGCUGUUGAGUCGAGACUGGUUCAGAGAAAUAGAUGAGCGCUUGGAAAUUGAGAUGCCAACUUACCAUGAGUGUGUAUCACUACUUGACUGUUGCCCAGCAUCAUCUGUGCUUUUAGAUAUCCAAGAAGUGGUAAAAUAUGCUUCCUCUACUGAUCAAGGCAAAGCCGCUCCACAAGCUGUGGAAUCUUGCUCACGUGCCUUGGAAGAAUUCGAGGCGCUAGUACGUGGGUCAGUGCAUGAUCCAUCGUCGUCGUCCACCGAAGGCAUGAGGAGCAAAAUCAGUGUCGCUCUUCGAGCCUUAGACAACAUCUUGGACAUCGUGCCGCCGACCUUGAGAGCGCUUGCGGAUGCCUGCCACCAAAAAGGAGGGAAGACAAUAUUUGAUCUUGUUGAGCAAGCAAGUGAUGAUACAGAGGAGUGCAAACUGGAGGGCUCUCCUGAUGCUGACAACCUUUCCCACGGCGAGAACAAGACGAUGGUCUAUGCGAUGGGCAGAUCUUGCGAGGUGCAGCAGGGGCGACCCCGUCAGCGAAGGAGGCAGAACCAGGCACGGGGCCAGGAAGAACGAGCGGUGGUUCCAAAUCGCCGCCAACUGGAGCAGUAUGUGAUGAUGAUUUUCUUGUGCCUGCUCUUCUUUGCCUACAUAUGGGCGCCGAUCGAUAUGAGGUUGUUAGGCCAUUGCCCUUUAGCAUCCUAUUAG